AACCACUUCAUACUUCAACUGGUCAAACUUCAGGUUAGUCUGACAUCUGAGGGUACGUAAGUUACAUUAUUCAGUGGUGGCACACACAUCUAGUGAAGCACAACACUAACUACAGGUGUGCCUGAACUUGAGGAGAGCAUUUUGAAGAUAACUACAAAGUUUUUGUACUUCCUGUGAAAUUGCUUGAGAAGUUCCAGACAGAAAAGGAAGUGCUGAAAUACUCAGAGAAAGGCGCUUCUCUGCCCCAGGAUGGAGUUCUGGCUGAAACUCGGUGUGAACCACUACCAGGGAAAGGAGACCAUCCCUGGGUGGGAAUGAUUCUGGCUUCUGCAAACCUAUGGCAGCUGAAGACUUCAGCUAAGAUGAAGGGCAAUAGAGUCUGACCUUUUGUGCACAUUCUUCCUACAAUAAUACAAUAAAAAUGCAGACUGUUAUUUCUGUU